rnacentral:rRNA from 1 species
UACGGAGGGUGCAAGCGUUAAUCGGAAUUAUUGGGCGUAAAGCGCGCGCAGGCGGUUUCUUAAGUCUGAUGUGAAAGCCCACGGCUUAACCGUGGAAGGUCAUUGGAAACUGGGAGACUUGAGUGCAGAAGAGAAGAGCGGAAUUCCACGUGUAGCGGUGAAAUGCGUAGAGAUGUGGAGGAACACCAGUGGCGAAGGCGGCUCUUUGGUCUGUAACUGACGCUGAGGCGCGAAAGCGUGGGGAGCGAACAGG